UCAAACUUGGUCAUUUAGAGGAAGUAAAAGUCGUAACAAGGUUUCCGUAGGUGAACCUGCGGAAGGAUCAUUAAUAGUUGCAGCCCUGCCAGUGCCUGGCGGGUUAGUAGCGUACGCCUCCGAGCCCCCGCGAGAACGAGACGCAACCCCCUGUGAACCUUCAACCUUCUGCUUCGGUAGCACGCCACCUUUCGGGGUGGCGGUAAGGCUGCCGAUAGCCCAUCACAUAAACUCAUGUUGUUAAAACCAUGCAGUCUGAUAUAUGACAAAUUUUAACAAAGUUAAAACUUUCAGCAACGGAUCUCUUGGUUCCCGCAUCGAUGAAGAACGCAGC
rnacentral:misc_RNA from 1 species